rnacentral:rRNA from 1 species
AUUGAACGCUGGCGGCAGGCCUAACACAUGCAAGUCGAGCGGAUGAAGGGAGCUGCCUCCUGGAUUCGGCGGCGGACGGGUAAGUAAGGCCUAGGAAUCUGCCUGUUAGUGGGGGAUAACGUCCGGAAACGGGCGCUAAUACCGCUUACGCCUUGGGGGAGAAAGUGGGGGAUCUUCGGACCUCACGCUAUCAGAUGAGCCUAGGUCGGAUUAGCUAGUUGGUGGGGUAAAGGCCUACCAAGGCGACGAUCCGUAACUGGUCUGAGAGGAUGAUCAGUCACACUGGAACUGAGACACGGUCCAGACUCCUACGGGAGGCAGCAGUGGGGAAUAUUGGACAAUGGGCGAAAGCCUGAUCCAGCCAUGCCGCGUGUGUGAAGAAGGUCUUCGGAUUGUAAAGCACUUUAAGUUGGGAGGAAGGGCAGUAAGUUAAUACCUUGCUGUUUUGACGUUACCAACAGAAUAAGCACCGGCUAACUUCGUG